AAAUAUUAAUCAGGCUUGGCCUUGCAGAUGGACAGACACAGUAUUCUGCUGUGACUUUAUUCCUCUCCUAAAGUCUUUUAAAUGUAAGACUAACUUGACUUUCCAUCUGGAAAUUCCACUGAACCUCCACAGAAAAAAGAAAACAAAGGAAAAAUGAGACAUAUCCAUUGGUUUUGAAAAGCAUCAUGUUAUUAUUAUAAAUUGUCAAGAGAUUUACUUCAAUUUCUGGUGCUCUCUGGAAAAGAAGUGAAGGUAGCACACAGGAACCAAGGUUGAAUAUGGUUUGCUGGUCCACAUGUAAACAUCUGGCUCAUUCUUGGUCCACUUAUAUGGCAUGUGUGAAGAAAAAAA